rnacentral:rRNA from 1 species
UCGACUGCCGCGCUCCUCUUCCUCGGCGCCUGGGCCGCCAGCCAUGCCCUCACCGCCCGCCUCGGCUUCACGCUCUCCUGGAAGCUCGUGCUGGCCACGCAGCUCUUCUGCUGGACCUGGCAGUUCCUCGGCCAUGGACUCUUUGAGAAGAGAGGGCCGACGGUGAGAGAACUUCCUGAGGUGUUCCUCAUGGAGCCAUUCCUCAUCCUGCUGCAGAUACUCAACAAACUGUUUGGCUAUGAGCCAUACCCUGGAUUCAGCAAGAACGUGGAUAAGAAGAUGGAGGCCGAUCUCAGUCUUAGGAAGAGCAGAGAACUCAAGCAGAGCAAGAUGAACUGA